rnacentral:misc_RNA from 1 species
CUCAUUUGUCAGAAGGAAGGCAAGGAAAUGUUGCUAAUGUUUCUUCUGCUGCCACUUCUAAUGGUAAUGCAGUUUCAGCAUCAGCUAGAGGCUCCCCCCUUUCUNNNNNNNNNNNGUCAUGGUGGUGAAUAAAAGGUAGAUAGUGGAGCUGCCAAAUCUGUGGUAAAAGAUGAUGCCACUGAAGUUGCUGAUGUUCACAAGCCCCCUUCUCGACUUCUUCACUCUCCCCGGCA